CGGGGUGUAGCGCAGUUGGUAGCGCGCUGCGUUCGGGACGCAGAGGCCUGGAGUUCGAGCCUCCACACUCCGACCA
rnacentral:tRNA from 1 species